rnacentral:rRNA from 1 species
CUACGGGUUGCAGCAGUGAGGAGUAUUGCACAAUGGGGGGGAACCCUGAUGCAGCAACGCCGCGUGGAGGAUGACGCAUUUCGGUGUGUAAACUCCUUUUAUAUGUCAAGAAAAUGACGGUAGCAUAUGAAUAAGCACCGGCUAACUCCGUGCCAGCAGCCGCGGUAAUACGGAGGGUGCAAGCGUUACUCGGAAUCACUGGGCGUAAAGGACGCGUAGGCGGGUUGGAAAGUCAGGUGUGAAAUCCUACAGCUUAACUGUAGAACUGCACUUGAAACUUCUAAUCUAGAGUAUGGGAGGGGGAGAUGGAAUUAGUGGUGUAGGGGUAAUAUCCGUAGAUAUCACUAGGAAUACCUAAAGCGAAGGCGAUCUCCUGGAACAUUACUGACGCUAAGGCGUGAAAGCGUGGGGAGCAAACAGGAUUAGAUACCCCUGUAGUC